AGGAGUGAGUACAAGAGUUGGUAGGGUGGCAGUGGAAGGCUUAAUCAGAGUGGAUUCUGGAACAUUCAGGACUGCGGCACCUUGUAUCUGGACAGGGAUUUGGGACUGUGCAGGAGACGACUGGUGGUCCAGUGUGGCUUAAGGACUUGAUGGCGUAACCCACUUCUUCCACGGAGGAGACUGGGGAGAUGGAUUUGAAGAGGAUUGAACAAAUUGGAAGAAAAUAUUUGUCCUCUGCUUUGGUGUCAGAAAAGGGAAUUUUCCAAUCUGCCACACCUCAGUGUUGCGGCAAAAAUAAUUCUUGGCUCCCCUGGAAACUAUCGGGCAAGGUAGGGCAGAACUGCUGCUGCUGUCGCCAUUACCCUGGGCUUCCUAUUGAAUGGGCUGCUCCCAAGUGAACAGAUCUGCGUUGAUGCUCUGGUCGUCCAAAAGUCCUCAAAUCAGCUCUGAGCUGAGCCCACUAUUGGAAGAAUCUGCCUUUUGGAAGUUGACGCUACCUUGUGCUUGGGAAGAUUUGGCUCAAGCACUCUUUCCCUGCCUGGAGACUUAUUGGGGAUGUAAAAUGAGAGAAUAGCAGGUGACCAGCAAAUUAGGGGAGGAUUAAAUACUUCCAAGUUGUCACAGCAAGAAGAAAGAGGAAUAUCUCAGGAGUUUGACCUCAAGCCUACAAAGUGGUGGUAUUCUACCAAGAUGUCUGUAUGCUUCAUGAUGCUGUUGAGUCCUGUGGGAGGAGAAUCUGAGCACCCUGAUGCCCCUUAUCCCCAAUACUGCACUGUGGAGCUGAGAGUGACAACAGCCAAGAAUUCUGUAGAGUACAGCUCCAUCUGUAAGUAGAUGACAAUUUCUUGGCAACACAGGCUCAGCUGAGGAUGGUGUUUGUGCAUCUAAGCCAUCAUGCUAGAGCAGUUUGCCUACAUUUUUGUGGAACGGCAAAGAGGACCUGCUUGACCACCCUUCUUUCUGUGGGUACUGAAAGAUGAAAAGUCAUGCUGGAUGAGGUUGCUGAGGUGGGAUGAGGGCCAGUAGGAUGCCAUGUAUAGAGAAGGAAAGACUUGGAGCACUCCAUGUGGCCAAAGGUGGUUAUGCCCUACAUCAAACCCCAGCUUCCAGUGUCUCCUCUGUUUCCUGCUUGAUUUGCUCUGCUCAAAGACAUCUUUUGACCUUUUCUCAUUCCUUUGGACCUUUUGCUCUCUCUGUUUUCAUCUACCCCUGCCUGUUCUUCCAUUUGUUUUUUUCUUUAGGAUGAAUGAAAAUAUUCUCAGCUAUUGA
rnacentral:lncRNA from 1 species